rnacentral:tRNA from 1 species
AGGCGCGUAGCUCAGUUGGUUAGAGCACCACCUUGACAUGGUGGGGGUCGUUGGUUCGAGUCCGAUCGCGCCUA